rnacentral:rRNA from 1 species
AUUGAACGCUGGCGGAAUGCUUUACACAUGCAAGUCGAGCGGCAGCGCGGUCUUCGGACUGGCGGCGAGCGGCGAACGGGUGAGUAAUACAUCGGAACAUGCCCAGUCGUGGGGGAUAACACUUCGAAAGAAGUGCUAAUACCGCAUACGUCCUGAGGGAGAAAGCAGGGGAUCGCAAGACCUCGCGCGAUUGGAGUGGCCGAUGUCAGAUUAGCUAGUUGGUGGGGUAAAGGCCUACCAAGGCAACGAUCUGUAGCUGGUCUGAGAGGAUGAUCAGCCACACUGGGACUGAGACACGGCCCAGACUCCUACGGGAGGCAGCAGUGGGGAAUUUUGGACAAUGGGGGCAACCCUGAUCCAGCCAUUCCGCGUGAGUGAAGAAGGCCUCCGGGUUGUAAAGCUCUUUCGGCAGGAACGAAACGGCGAGCUCUAACAUAGCUUGCUAAUGACGGUACCUGAAGAAGAAGCACCGGCUAACUACGUGCCAGCAGCCGCGGUAACAC